GCAGCCUCACACACACAAACUAAGAGAGGUAAGCUGCAGCAAUGGUGAGUCCACAGGAAAAGUUGCUGUUUUCAAUGUGGAAGUACAGACACUACUUUAAUCUCCUUCAGAUGCCUCUUUUGCAAUGUUGCUUAUGGGACAAAGUCUUCUUGGGGCCCCCCCUGCAUCAGCUGGAGCAGCAGCAUCCUCAGCUAGCCUUGUGCAAAGAGUCGAGGGAUGUAUCUGAGGGAAGAUGGCUGCAGACACAGCACCCAGCUCAGUAAAUUUCACCGUCUGGAGUCACGUCUGGAUGAUUGACGUUUCCAGCACUACCUGAGGCUGACCGGUACCCUGCUCUCAGCUGUGGUGUGCCUGUCCAUCUGUUUCCAGUGAGUGGC